CUGUGUUGUGUUCUCACCCUAUAACUCUGCUUUUGUGGACGGCUGUGCUCCUUCCUCAUCUACUGGGAGGACAACAGCAGAAGUAAACACAGGGUUCCAGGUGGUGAAUUAUUCAUCAAGAGAAGCAGGACGCAGCCUCACCUGGCACACACAGCAGCUCCAAGCACACGGCGUCGGUGGAUUCUGCCGAAUGUUUACCUUGAGCAGCCAGCUUUAUAACAAGUCACGAUGCAGGAUGCCUGGAGAUAAGACGGACAGCCAGACCCAAACUACCCCUCUUCUUAUGUCCAUGGAAACACAUAAAUAUAACUGGGAACACAAACAUUCAAGAUACAGUGAAGAAAAGGAGUGAGUGGAAAUUCUGCCUAGGGCAGUAAAAAGCAUACAAAAGUUGCUGCAUUUGAGCCGAGUCUUGCAUGACAAUGAGGAAGUGUUUUCCAGGUGGAUAGGAAAAACAGGGCAAGCAAGCCUUCCAGAUGCUCAUAUGAGACACUGACGUGCACGAAAGCACGGAAUGGGGCACAAACAGUAAACGGUUCUGGAAGGGCAAGUUUGCAUGGAAGGAUGCUUCAAAGGCCACCUUAAUGUUUGAAAAGCUUCAUUUUUGCCCUUACAGCUGCCCUGACACCCUCCAGGUCUCCAUGCGACUUUCUAUCCUUAUCCAAAUCCAGGUCACCUCCUCAGGAGACACUCCCUGACCUUCCUAAAUAAAAGGACUCCAUCACUCACUCUCCACGGCUGUGGCUUAUCUCCUCCAGCUGAGAUUAUAUAACAUUUCCGUGCUGUGUCUAUUUAUGUAUUGACUGCCUUCCCUCCAUCAGACUGUAGGCUCCCUGAGAGUCAAACCUCAUUUGUGAUGUGCACUCACCCUCAGCACCUGGAACACACGUGGGGCACUGAACAAAUGUUUCUGAAUGAAUGAGUGCAAGAAUGUUGUGACUCCUAGCUGGAGGUUCAGGCCUUCAGACCGGUCUACACCAUCCAGGUAAAGGUGACUCUUUGAGGCUUUCCAGACCUCCAAGGGAGGAAGAUCAGGACCUACUUCCUUCACAUUCUGGACAUUAAUGGUUUCAUAUAAUCAAUUCCAAACUUGACAUUUCUUAAUGGAACUUUACACAGAACCCCAUAGAGAGAUGAGGUCAAGAUGUCGAUUCUAGGCUGAAGUUACCAAAUGUGAUCUCCAUGCUUUCAUAAUCCCCUCCCACCUGCUGGAUGCAGAUGCUGCUACUGCUGACGAUGAUGAUGAACACGAUGGUGAUGAUGCUGCUGACAAAGAGACCCAGGGCAAGGCUGAUCCACACGAUGGGCAGAACCUGGGCCCCUGAAUCACUGCAGGGAAGGAAGCCAACUCCCGGAUCCAGCAUGCCCAACUUGGACUAUGAGAUAACUGAAAAAAACACUUCCAUUGCCUUUGAGUCAUCAGCAUUUGUGGGGAGGGGGCUCUACAGAUUAUCGCAUAUGGUUAACCAAUAAACUAGUUAAAAAUAAACUAAUAAACUUUUAAUUUUUAUUUA